rnacentral:rRNA from 1 species
UAAGACGAACCGUGCUAACGUUGUUCGGAAUCACUGGGCUUAAAGGGCGCGUAGGCGGCUUGCCAAGUCAGGGGUGAAAUCUUUCGGCUUAACCGGAAAAGUGCCUUUGAUACUGGCGAGCUUGAGGGGGGUAGGGGUAUGUGGAACUUCCGGUGGAGCGGUGAAAUGUUUUGAUAUCGGAAGGAACGCCGGUGGCGAAAGCGACGUACUGGACCUCUUCUGACGCUGAGGCGCGAAAGCUAGGGGAGCAAACGGGAUUAGAUACCCCGGUAGUCCUAGCCCUAAACGAUGGGUACUAGGUUGUGGACUUACAUGGGUUCACAGCCGAAGCAAAAGUGUUAAGUACCCCGCCUGGGGAGUAUGGUCGCAAGGCUG